GCCAGAUUCGGCCCAAUAUGACACUUUGGCCGGCGGCCUGCUAAGCCAUAGGGCUCUGCCCGCGAGGGUUCGAAUCCCUCAGGUGUCG
rnacentral:tRNA from 1 species